GGACGGAAAGGCCCUGCUUUUGUGGGGUGCUCGAGUGGCGAACGGGUGAGUAACACGUGAGUAACCUGCCCUUGACUUUGGGAUAACUUCAGGAAACUGGGGCUAAUACCGGAUAGGAGCUCCUGCUGCAUGGUGGGGGUUGGAAAGUUUCGGCGGUUGGGGAUGGACUCGCGGCUUAUCAGCUUGUUGGUGGGGUAGUGGCUUACCAAGGCUUUGACGGGUAGCCGGCCUGAGAGGGUGACCGGCCACAUUGGGACUGAGAUACGGCCCAGACUCCUACGGGAGGCAGCAGUGGGGAAUAUUGCACAAUGGGCGGAAGCCUGAUGCAGCAACGCCGCGUGCGGGAUGACGGCCUUCGGGUUGUAAACCGCUUUCGCCUGUGACGAAGCGUGAGUGACGGUAAUGGGUAAAGAAGCACCGGCUAACUACGUG
rnacentral:rRNA from 1 species